AGAAAUGGUGGCCAUCAUGGGAUAUGAGGAAGCAAUUGAGCUGCGUCAAUUUUGAAACUAAUGGAGUAUCUCAGCUUUGUGAUAGGCUUGGAAGAAUACUUGCUGAUUCCAGAGGCUUCGUUCCAUCAGAAAGAAAUAAAAGAGACAUUCUUCAUCAUUGCCAGAAAUUAAAUCUUGUAUGGGUAGGUCCGUACAAAUUGGGGCCCAUAGAGCCGGAAUAUUUGGAAAUCAUCCUAGGCUAUCCAUCGAAUCACACUCAAGCUGCUGAGAGUAACUUAAUUGAAAGGCUUCAUUCUCUCAGAUAUAGCUUCCAGAUAGACACUUUGGGGUAUCAUCUCUCUGUAUUAAAGUCUAUGUUCCCAGAUGGAAUAACAAUGUUGUCAGUUUUCAGCGGAAUAGGUGGGGCAGAAGUUGCUAUACACCGGCUUGGAAUCCAUAUGAAGG
rnacentral:misc_RNA from 1 species